rnacentral:lncRNA from 1 species
UGUGCUAUGUUUAUGAAUUGCACAGGGUUAUGAAUUGGUAGAUUAUAGAAGUGAAAUUUUUGAUCUGAAUGUUUUCUUAGUGACCUCAAAUGUGUGUUUGGAUCCUGGGUUAGUUAUGAUGAAAAAUUUUUAAUAUCAUGGAUAUUUUUUUAGGGGCGUGACAAUAACAGAUGGAGCAUAGAGUAAUUGGAGCAUAUCAAUAGCGUAUGAAAUGUUCCGGAGCAUAUCAACUACAUAUGGAACAUUU